UAGGUUUAUCCUAAGUCAAACUAUUUUAAGUUUGACCAAGUUUGUAGAAAAGUUUGUCGACAUUUAUGAAACCUAAUAAGUAUACUAUGAAAAUAUGUUACAUGUUGAAUCUAAUGAUACUUAUUUGGUAAUAUAAAUAUCAGUACUUUUUGUAUAAACUUGGUCAAACAUAAGAUAGUUUGGCUUAGGACAACUAGA
rnacentral:pre_miRNA from 1 species